rnacentral:misc_RNA from 1 species
UCCGGGUUAGUCCCGGCGGUCCCGCCAGACUUCGUAACUGGCAGCGAGGGUUGCGCUCGUUGCGGGACUUAACCCUACACCUCACGGCACGAGCUGACGACAGCCAUGCAGCAUCUGUGCGCGCUCCCUUGCGGGUCCCCCCCGUUUCCGGGUCGUACCACGCGCAUGUCAAGCCCAGGUAAGGUUCUUCGCGUUGCAUCGAAUUAAACCACAUGCUCCACCGCUUGUGCAGGCCCCCGUCAAUUUCUUUGAGUUUUAACCUUGCGGCCGUACUCCCCAGGCGGAUGACUUAACGCGUUAGCUGCGCCACCGAAACGCUAAGCGCCCCGACAGCUAGUCAUCAUCGUUUACGGCGUGGACUAC